ACUGCUCAGUAACACGUGGCUAACCCACCCUUGAGACGGAGAAAACCCCGGGAAACUGGGGUUAAUCUCCGAUAAGAGAAGACCCCUGGAAUGGGUCUUCUCUCAAAGGGCGCCUAGACCAUGCUUCUAGGCGUUGCUCAAGGACGGGGCCGCGGCCGAUCAGGUUGUUGGUGAGGCAACGGCUCACCAAGCCUAUAACCGGUACGGGCCGUGAGAGCGGGAGCCCGGAGAUGGGCACUGAGACAAGGGCCCAGGCCCUACGGGGCGCAGCAGUUGCGAAAACUCCGCAAUGCACGAAAGUGUGACGGGGCUACCCCGAGUGYCGUCCGCUGAGGGCGGCUUUUCCCCGGUGUAAGGAGCCGGGGGAAUAAGGAGAGGGCAAGUCUGGUGUCAGCCGCCGCGGUAAUACCAGCUCUCCGAGUGGUAGGGAUGAUUAUUGGGCUUAAAGCGUCCGUAGCCGGCCCGGCAAGUCUUCCGUUAAAUCCAACGAUUCAAUCGUUGGACUGCAGGAGAUACUGUUGGGCUAGGGGGCGGGAGAGGCCGACGGUAUUCUCGGGGUAGGGGUAAAAUCCUAUAAUCCCGGGAGGACCACCAGUGGCGAAGGCGGUCGGCUAGAACGCGCUCGACGGUGAGGGACGAAAGCUGGGGGAGCGAACCGGAUUAGAUACCCGGGUAGUCCCAGCUGUAAACGAUGCGGGCUAGGUGUUGGGGCGGCUACGGGCCGCUUCAGUGCCGCAGGGAAACCAUUAAGCCCGCCGCCUGGGGAGUACGGCCGCAAGGCUGAAACUUAAAGGAAUUGGCGGGGGAG
rnacentral:rRNA from 1 species